UGAGGCGGGCAUCACGGAAACUGCGACACCUAACCCCCCUCCCCACCCCGGCAAAGCGGGCACCCGGGAGAGUGGGGGGCCGCGCUUGAGCAGAGAAGGGGUGGGGGUUUCGGGCUUAGUGAUCAACCCGGGGCAAAGCCGAGAGAGAGAGAGACCGACCCCGGAGGAAGCGUGGCUGGGCCCGGGAGAGGCUGGCAUUGAACUGAAAGAUGGAGCAACACGUGGCAGUCAUUUCGCCCUCUUCCGUUCACAUCGACAUGUGUGUGCCUGGCUGCGAGUUCUUGUCUAGUUCGAUCGAUUCAUCUGUCUGUCUUUGUCCCUGUCUAUCAAGGUCCCUGUUGGUUCAUCUGUUCAUAUCUAUUUCUCAGUAUUUGUCCCUCAGUCUCUGUAUCUGCCUACCCGUUUAUCUGUUUCUCUGUGAGUCUGCCUGUGCCCCUAUUUAUCUCUAUUGAUUUGUCUCUGUCUAUUUAUCUGUCUCUCUCUAUUCAUUUCGUCUCUCUGUAUUUGCCUAUUCAUAUCCAUCUCGCUUGAUUUGUCUGUUUGUACCUGUCUUGUUUUUCUGUUAUGUGUGUAACCCUAUCUAUCUCUGUCAAUUCAUCUCUCAGUAUCUGUUUGCCCCACCUAAUCUACACCUCCCUGAACACUACGGGCAAUUUAGCAGGGCCGAUCCACUGGCCUGCACAUCUUUGGACUGUGGGAGGAAACCGGCGUAAACCCACGCAGACACGGGGAGAAUGUGCAAACUCCACACAGACAGUCGCCCGAGGCUGGAAUUGAACCCGAGCCCCUGGUGCUGUGAGGCUGCUGUGUUAACCACUGAGCCACCGUGCUGCCCCAUUUUCCACCUGAUUGUCUCUGUAUCUAUUCAAUUUUGUAAUGUACUCUUUAUUUUCUGAGAGAGAGCAAUAGGAAGUGGUGGAGGCUGGUACGAUUACAACAUUUUAAAGGCAUCUGGAUGGGUACAUAGAUAGGCAGGAUUUAGAGGGAUAUGGGCCAAAUACUGGAAAGUGGGGACUAGGUUAAUUUAGGAUAUCUGGGUCGGCAUGGAUGAGUUCAACCGAAGGGUCUGUUUCCUUGCUGUAUAACUCCAUGAGUGUCCCUCUGCAUGUCAAUUCAACCCUGAACCCACCUCCACCUGUCUAUUUCACGUGUCCACUCAUUGUUUAAAAUCCAUUCCUGCCUCCUCUCCCUGUUUAUCUCUCUACCUCUAUCUCUUUGACCCAAUGUGACUUCCUCUUUCCACUAUCUGACUUCGCCAAGAUGUCUACGUUCUACCUGCGAUGGUAGCUAUGACAUGGUCACUUCGCCUGACGAAGGAGCAGUGCUCAAAAAGCUCGUGAUUGCAAAUAAACCUGCUGGACUAUAA